rnacentral:rRNA from 1 species
UGCCCUACGGGAGGCAGCAGUGGGGAAUAUUGGGCAAUGGGGGAAACCCUGACCCAGCGACGCCGCGUGAGGGAAGAAGGUUUUCGGAUUGUAAACCUCUGUCCUUGGUGACGAUAAUGACGGUAGCCAAGGAGGAAGCCACGGCUAACUACGUGCCAGCAGCCGCGGUAAUACGUAGGUGGCGAGCGUUGUCCGGAAUUACUGGGUGUAAAGGGAGCGUAGACGGCCAGACAAGUCUGAAGUGAAAAUCCAGCGCUUAACGUUGGAAGUGCUUUGGAAACUGCCGGGCUAGAGUGCAGGAGGGG